rnacentral:rRNA from 1 species
CCUACGGGAGGCUGCAGUAGGGAAUCUUUCACAAUGGGCGAAAGCCUGAUGGAGCAACGCCGCGUGCAGGAUGAAGGCUUUCGGGUUGUAAACCGCUUUUAUAAGCGAGAAAUAUGACGGUAACUUAUGAAUAAGGAUCGGCUAACUACGUGCCAGCAGCCGCGGUCAUACGUAGGAUCCGAGCAUUAUCCGGAGUUACUGGGUGUAAAGAGUUGGGUAGGUGGGAUAAUAAGUAGCUAGUGAAAUCUGGUGGCUCAACCAUUCAGACUAUUAGGUAAACUGUUAAGCUCGAGACCGUUAGGGGUAACUGGAAUUUCUAGUGUAGGAGUGAAAUCCGUAGAUAUUAGAAGGAACACCAGUGGCGUAGGCAGGUUGCUGGGACGGUUCUGACACUGAGGCACGAAGGCGUAGGGAGCAAACGGGAUUAGAUACCCUUGUAGUC